rnacentral:rRNA from 1 species
GGGUANNCCUGAGAANNCCAAAAGAUCGAACGGGGAGAUUCAUCGUCGACGGCGUUCGGCUACCGUUGGCCGGCGAUGCUCCGGAUGGGGCCGGUCACGACCGGUUUCCCAUUGGCGAGGGCACGCCGCCGACGGAUCGAACAUUCCGGCGUCGUAGUCGUGCACUUCUCCCCUGGUAGAACGUCGCGACCCGUUGCGCGUCGGUCUACGGCCCGAGAGGGAGCCUGUCGCUGCGUUUCGGCGCACGCGGCAGACCCUCGGUCGCCCGGCCGGCUGCGCGACGGUACGCCAAACGGUAUCGGGCCGCAACCAAUCCAUUCNNCCAUCCCGGGCGCGAACGCGUGUGCGUCCAACCCGCCGCAAGCUCGGUCAGUUUCACAACCCGGUGGCCGCGGACCGGUGCCGUCCCCGGGCCUGGCCAGCUGUUAGCAGCGCGGAGAAACUAGGACCGGCCAAACCUCCGACUACCGGUCGGCGACGCUAUUGCUUUGGGUACUCUCAGGACCCGUCUUGAAACACGGACCAAGGAGUCUAACAUGUGCGCGAGUCAUUGGGAAGGCAAAACCUAAAGGCGAAAUGAAAGUGAAGGUCGGCCGUCGCGCCGAUCGAGGGAGGAUGGGCCGCGUAACACAGUGCGUGCGGCCCCGCACUCCCGGGGCGUCUCGCUCUCACUGCGAGAAGAGGCGCACCCAGAGCGUACACGUUGGGACCCGAAAGAUGGUGAACUAUGCCUGGUCAGGACGAAGUCAGGGGAAACCCUGAUGGAGGUCCGUAGCGAUUCUGACGUGCAAAUCGAU